CGCUGUGAGGCCUUCAGCGAGUCCCUUCAGUUGCCUGCCCAUCUGUUUCCCGUCCCUGCGGGGAGAGGUGAAGUUAGACUGGUGUUUCUGGAACCCUCAUGGUCGCCAGAAGGAAGGGAGAAGCCUGCCUGGGGGGAAAGCAAGGAAAAAAAAAUACUAAAAGCCUUUGGAUUCUGUGUUUCCUCAAAGCAGAAUCAUUAAAGAGAUUAUGCCAGGUGCCCAAGAGGCAAAAACAUCUCUCUGUGAAGUGGCUCAAGGCAAGAGCCAGAAAAGCAGUUAUAAAGGGUAGUGUGCUCUUCAGACUGGUGUGAAAAAGGAAACUGGAAUUAUUCCGCAGGAAGCACCUCUUUCCAAACCUGAGAGAUGAGGAACGUUGCUAUGCAUAAGGACAUGCCUGGUUAUAUCCUGGAUGAUAGAAACUCACCCUUUCUUUUCCCUAAUGUUGUGGCUUACAUCAAGUUCCAGGGAGCGUACCUUACACCAAAGGACCCAAUGGGUGCCCAAACUGUUCUCGGCUCAUGGCCCUGGAUUCUGCCAAUGACCUGAAUGAGCUCCAAGGUGGAUCAUUCCCAGAGUUCCCAAGGAAGAGGCCAGCCCAGCCAGCAUGUUGAUUUCAGCUUGGUGGGAGACCUCCAGCAGAGGACCCAAUUGAGCCCCCCCAUUCUUCUGCUCUGUAGAACUGUGA